UUGACUGGUUGACUGUAUAGUAGCACCUCUGAAAACCUGGAUUUAAAGUAUUAAUGGUUUCUGUCUUCUGUCAUUUUAUACAUAUUUGUGGCAGUUUUGUCUUGUAUUUUGUGGGUUCUCCAGAACGACCUGCUGCUCUGUGGGGAGAGUUCUUCAACUGUGUGGUUCUAGAGUGGAUCUCAGCCUCACAGCAAAGAAGAUGUCUGUCAGAAGAACCUCCCUGCUCUUCACAAACCCAACACAACUCCACAGUCUGAGGCUUUCCAGUGCCAUGGUCUUGGUCCUGUUUCAGUGGGUCAGAAGAAGUAAACUGAUGUGUCCUUUGACUGUUGAAGAUUUUUGUCUUGUGGCUCAGAAAGAUCAAGCAUCAGAGAGAGAGUUGUUGAAGGUUGUCAGUAGUUUAUCUUCCCUGCUGAGAUCCUGUUCAGUCAGACAGUUGGUCCUCACUGAGUCCUGCAUCCCUGUUCAGUGUCUCAUUCCACUGCUGCUCCACCAUGGUCCUCCAACCAUCAAGUAGAUAUCCUUCCUCAACCUUCUGAACCAAACAAAGCAUAGAACACUUUAACAGAUAGACUCAUUAUUGUGCUGAAAUCUGCAGACUGAGUCCUGGUCCAUGAAGUCCAGGACCAGGACUUGACGUUGUCCUUGUUGAGUGUGGUUUCUGGAGACCUGACCUCCUGCUGCCUGAACUGGGAGCUUCUUCACUAUCUGCUGCAGCAGUCUCCAGCUCAGACCAUCACUGUGAACCUGAGGAAGAACCUCUUCUUCCAGGAGAGCGCCGCUCGUCUGCUUCCCUUUCUGGGCAGGAUUGUGAUUAAAAGGCCCAGUCCCAGCUUGGUGAUGACUUCCAUCAGAGAGCUGUAUAGAGCUCACGCCAGUCACAUGGUCCCCAGUUUGCUGAGGUCAUUGGAUCAUGUGAUCAAGCUGAGCUGCAGAGAGCUGGACUCAGUGGACUCUGCUGCUCUGCUCUUCACCCUCAGACACAGUGAUGGAGUUAAAGUGGACCUCCGGUGGACUUCCAUCCCAGAGGAGGGAACACGGUCCAUCCUCUCUACGCUGGACAGAGUUUCUCAGCUCAGGUCAGAUAUUAGUGCUGGUUUCCAGCCCAUCAUUGCUGUCCAACACACAGGACAGGAUCCAGCUGUCCUCUGCCUCAGUAUUAAUGCACCACUGAUCAUUCUGUCUUCACUUAUUUCAUUCUGCAGCACUUUCUACCAUCACAACUGUUUUUAUCUAGAUUAUUUUCAUCUCAUCUCUCCGUGUCAGAUUUACAGAUUUACAAGUAUUUUCUAGAAUUCAUGCCUUUAAAUGUCUUAGAUGGAACUCUACACUCUACAUCUGACCUUUGACUGCUUAUUUCACUUCUGAUGUCUCUUCUUGCACAUAGAAAACUAAACAUGGACGUUUGAACAAAGUUUUAAAGUGAUUUUUACUAGUGGGGGUCUUUAGAAAGAUUUCAGAUCCUUGCAGUAAACUGCUUUACAAUCAAAGCAGCUGCAUGACUGUAGCAGCAUUUUACUGUCAACAUGUGCAGAGUCUCAAUGUCUGGGAUUUGACUUUUGGACCAUUUUAAAGCUUCAUUCCAUGCAGAAAUAGAAGAGCAGAUGAACUUUGGUUGUAAGCGAAUAAAAAGACACGGUGACACCUUUUUACCUGCAGGAUCACUUGCUGGGCUGCUUUUAAUCAGCUGCUCCAGCAGUGAAUGAAAAGAACAUUUAGAAGUCUAAGCUUCACUUCUUUACUAAGGUGACCGAUGGUAAUCAGGUCUGCAGCCUCGAGGGAACCACCUAGGAGGGGCCUCCCCUGGUGCAUAAUGUCCGGGUUGUGGAAGAUCGGCUGUGCCAGCACCUGAGCCUUGGUGUUGACUUGGGCCUUCAUCAGUGGUCGUGCCAACCCCCACACCUCCAUGACCUCCCUGUAAAAACUAUCUAGCUGGGCAUAGCGAGUAUGUGGAGCUAUCUGACACAGUUGAAAAUUCCCUAAACUGCUGAUUUCUUUAAGCUGUUGUGUGAAAAAAUCUUUCCAAUCUGCUCUAUUGUUUUUGUCUAAGUGCUUAAUAAUGAUUUUGUUUCUAAGUGCUAUUUUUUUUGUGUGAAUGUCUAUUAAGUUUAAGCCUCCUUUCUUGUAGUCGUCUAUUAUUGUUCUGUGUGCUACCAGGUUACUUUUGCCUUUCCAAAGAAAUGUAGUUAUUAGAUUAUUGAUUUUUGCAAGUACUGCGUUGGGGAGGUCAUGGACAGCCAAUGUGUGUGUUAACUUUGACAAAAUGAGGGAGUUGGUCACGACCACCUUGCCCCUCAGGGUCAGCCCCCACAUCUUCCACAACCCGAACUGACCUGGGAGUUUGACCAGAAGCCCCUCCCAGGAUUUGUCCCUCGCUGCCGCAGCAUCGCUGCCAAUGUAAACCCCCAGAACCUUGACGCUCUCCUGGGCCUCCUCAAAUCCCCAAAUGUUUGGCGGCCGAGCCACCGAGCCACAAAACAUGAUUUGUGACUUUUCUGUGUUCACCUGUGCUCCCGAUGCUCUACAAAAAGUGUCCAGGUGUGUGAUUACACUGUCCACCUGUUCUGAGUUCUUGAGAAAUAAGUUUGUGUCAUCUGCAAAUUGUACUAUUUUAAUGUGUCUUUGUGCUGGUGUUAUGAUCCCCGUUAUGUGCCUGUCUGUGAUAAUCAGCUGGGCCAGUGGCUCGGCCACCAAACUGUACAAAAGCACAGAGAGAGGACAGCCCUGCCUGAUUGAGUGUUGGAGUUGGAUUGGUUUUGUUAAGAACCCAUUGCAUUUUAUUUGACUGUGUGCGUUGUUGUAUAAUAAUUGUAACCAGCCCAUGUACCUGCUCCUAAACCCCAGUGUCCUCAUUAACCUCCAUAAAAAAUUGUGUUCUACUCUGUCGAAUGCUUUGUUGAAAUCUACAGUGAUGUAAAUCCCCCCCUCCUGUUGUAACUGCUGCACCCCGUGUUUAACUGUUAGUAUUGUGUCUGAAAUUUCUCUUCCUGGUAUGCUGUAUGACUGUGUGUCUCCUACUAUGUGAUGUAUGACGUUUUUCAACCUGUUUGCUAAUAUUUUUGCUAGUAUUUUGUAGUCUGUGUUGAGUAGACUGAUCGGUCUGUAGUUCUUCAGGCAGGAUCUGUCCCCCCUCUGUUUGUACACCAGACUUACCAAUCCUAGCGUCAAGGUUCUGGGGGUUGACCUCUGCUCCUCCAUACUUUGGUAGAGGGAGAGGAGGACUGGGGCCAGCAGGUCUCUGAAAGAGAUGUAGAAGUCAGCAGUAAUACCGUCUGAGCCAGGGCUUAUCAACCACAAAAUCAAAUCUAUGCGUUGAACAUGAAUAUUUAAAAAUUAAUACAACAAGAAGGAUGGCUUUAGAUUUACACCACACAGGCAAGAGUCCUGCUAUAA